rnacentral:rRNA from 1 species
ACUCAAAUGAAUUGACGGGGACCCGCACAAGCGGUGGAUGAUGUGGUUUAAUUCGAUGCAACGCGAAAAACCUUACCUACCUUUGACAUGUACGGAACUCGCCAGAGAUGGCUUGGUGCUCGAAAGAGAACCGUAACACAGGUGCUGCAUGGCUGUCGUCAGCUCGUGUCGUGAGAUGUUGGGUUAAGUCCCGCAACGAGCGCAACCCUUGUCAUUAGUUGCUACAUUCAGUUGGGCACUCUAAUGAGACUGCCGGUGACAAACCGGAGGAAGGUGGGGAUGACGUCAAGUCCUCAUGGCCCUUAUAGGUAGGGCUACACACGUCAUACAAUGGAUGGUACAAAGGGUCGCCAACCCGCGAGGGGGAGCCAAUCCCAUAAAGCCAUUCGUAGUCCGGAUCGCAGUCUGCAACUCGACUGCGUGAAGUCGGAAUCGCUAGUAAUCGUGGAUCAGAAUGUCACGGUGAAUACGUUCCCGGGUCUUGUACACACCGCCCGU